rnacentral:lncRNA from 1 species
AACAUAUGAAAGCAAUUGCGUAAUGAUGUUAAACAAGCUCGUUCACAAGAUUUGAUGCUUUUGUGACAAAUACCAACUUUGAAAUGUAACUCCAACCUUAGCAGCAACAAAACUUUCAAAGAAUGUCCUAAUAGAAUAAAGUUGAAGAGAUUCUUGGAUUUACACCAUUCAUCAAAUGAGUCAUAAACCGUGCUUAUGUUUCUGCAUAAAAGAAAUAAAAUAUGCUUUAAGAAGGAAAAAAAUUCAAACUUUAAAAUGUAAAACCAAACUUGAGGAUGAAGAAAAAUGUGAACCGUUAUUUUGCAGCUGACCUGUGGUUUAAAACAAGAUCUAACUUGAUAGGGCAAAGACUUUAUGCAAUGAAAUGUUGUAGAAAGCAAAACCCAUAAAGGGUUUCUCAAAUCCUAGACAAGGGCAAAUGACUCUAAUCAAAAUAGAGACAUAUUCUU